rnacentral:rRNA from 1 species
UACGGAGGGUGCAAGCGUUAUCCGGAUUCACUGGGUUUAAAGGGUGCGUAGGAGGGCAGGUAAGUCAGUGGUGAAAUCUCCGAGCUUAACUUGGAAACUGCCGUUGAUACUAUCUGUCUUGAAUAUUGUGGAGGUGAGCGGAAUGUGUCAUGUAGCGGUGAAAUGCUUAGAUAUGACAUAGAACACCAAUUGCGAAGGCAGCUCGCUACACAUAUAUUGACUCUGAGGCACGAAAGCGUGGGGAUCAAACAGG